rnacentral:rRNA from 1 species
CCUACGGGAGGCUGCAGUAACGAAUCUUCCGCAAUGCACGAAAGUGUGACGGAGCGACGCCGCGUGUGGGACGAAGCCCUUCGGGGUGUAAACCACUGUCAGGGGCGGCGCCCCAGAGGAAGGCACGGCUAACUCUGUGCCAGCAGCCGCGGUAAGACAGAGGUGCCGAGCGUUAGGCGGAAUCACUGGGCUUAAAGCGUGUGUAGGCGGGCGGGCAAGUACCUUGUGAAAUCCCACGGCUCAACCGUGGAACUGCUGGGUAUACUGCCUGUCUUGAGCCAGCUAGGGGCGGUCGGAACAGACGGUGGAGCGGUGAAAUGCGUGAUAUCGUCUGGAACGCCAAAGGUGAAAACAGACCGCUGGCUGUGCUGACGCUGAGACACGAAAGCCAGGGGAGGAACGGGAUUAGAUACCCUUGUAGUC